rnacentral:rRNA from 1 species
CCGUGAAGUUGGAGUCGCUAGUAAUCGCAGAUCAGCAACGCUGCGGUGAAUACGUUCCCGGGCCUUGUACACACCGCCCGUCACGUCAUGAAAGUCGGUAACACCCGAAGCCGGUGGCCUAACCCCUUGUGGGAGGGAGCCGUCGAAGGUGGGAUCGGCGAUUGGGACGAAGUCGUAACAAGGUAGCCGUACCGGAAGGUGCGGCUGGAUCACCUCCUUU